AUUUAUGAUAUAUUGUGUAAUUAGAUCUUAUUAACUGGUGGGAUGUAACUGGUGUCACAUAUGAAAAGUCACAUCUAACUAUCUUAACAAAACUACAAAUACAAAGGUUAGAAUGGUUUUUAGUGGAUAAGAUUACAUUAUCAUCUAUUUCUACAGAAGCACAAGCAGUUCUUAAACAUACACAGCCUAAGCCAAUAUAUACAAGCACAGUUUCCUGACUAGUAUCUGGAUGAAUCUCAAAGUGGCAAAUGCUUUGCUUAGUAUCCAGACAUAUAUCUUUUGCAUCAGUUCUGUUACUCUCACAGAUAAACCCUAGUUGUUUCCUUGUAGCACAAGAUUCUAAAUUUACAGUUUGCCAUUUCUCAUUUAUCAUUCGGGCCCGUGCUCUGUGCUCCGAGGGAUAGAGCACUGCCUUUUUAUGAUUUAAUUUUAAUCCAAUAAUAGGGUGGAUAGUGUAAAUCAUGGCAUUACGUAUAGUAAGCACAAAAGCAGUAGCCAUUUCAGUGGUAGGGUCAUAAGUAAAAUUUACCAGAGUCUACCAGGAUUGAAGCUUUCUUUUUAAAUUGUUUGCAUUGUCCCAGACAAUUUUCCGAAUUUUAAUUGGAAAAGCACCUUCACUUCUUUCUCUUAUUACUAAAGCAACUGUUGACUGCAUCUAUAAUUGUGCCUGUAUGCACCUGAGAGCCAAUGACACAUUUUCCUGGGCCAUAUUAAGUGCCUUUAUUAUUAACUCAUGGUCUUGGUCUGUAACUUUUUUCUACUUUGGCAAUACUUUAGAGAUUUGUCACUGGCUAGUUUUUAGUGCUAAUAAAGAGGAUCGUAGGGGCUGAUCUAGCUUUCUUAGAUCACUUGUUGCACUGGUUAAUUUAUUCAUUAAUAUUUCUGAAUCUAUUCCGUUUAAAACUUCCAAUGUUGUUCCUAAUAUUUUAGUUAAUGAAGAGGGAGCUGCACUUAGCUCUGUCUUUUAUGGGUUGUUCUGAGAAAUGGUCAUCUCAGUGUGCACCCGCUUCCUGGCAAAUCCAGAUGUCACCUGGAAAUCCUAAGUGAGGAUUUCCAGCCUUGACUACACAGGAGACAGCCUUCUGAAAAUGGAACUGACCUUGGCAGAAGAGCAGCUGUGAAGGGAAGCAGAACAAAAACACAGGACAGGAAAAAGCAUUACACUCCUCCCAUCUUUGCCAAAAGCUGUGGUGUUUGAGCAGCCAAAGCCAGGAGGCUUCAGCACCAGGGCUCUGCCCUGGAGGGCUCCUGGUCCUGCCCGUGCUGUGGGGGAGAAGAACACAAACUCACAGCAAUUCAGUCCUGACAGUCCCCUGCAGCGAGAGCUCAUCACACAUCGACAGAGGCAAGUCCAGCAUCUGAAAGAAAAACCAGAAGAAAAAGGUUCUUGUUCCAGAGGUGCUCUGACCCCAGAGCCAUACAGGGUCUGUAGUCUUGAUAAAUGGGAAUGAAAUUGGCCCAGUCUGUCAGGAAAGCAAAAACAUCCUGGGGUUUGUUUGGCCAAAGACGGACCAUGAAGAUGUCUGUACUUCCAGUGGGGAAAUGGUCAUCUGUGUGUGCACGCGCUUCCUUCAAAUCCAGAUGUGACAUGGAAAUUCCAAGUGAGGAUUUCCAGCCUUGACUCCAGGGGACACAGGCUUCAGAAAAUGGAACUGACCUUGGCAGAAUCGCAGCUGUGAAGGGGAGCAGCACUGAAAUACAGGACAGGAAAAAGCAUGACACUCCUCCCAUCUUUGCCAAAAGCUGUGGUGUUUGCGCAGCCAAAGCCAAGAGGCUUCAGCACCAGGGCUCUGCCCUGGAGGGCUCCUGGUCCUACCGGUGCUGUGGGGUCAGCAGGAACAAGAGGAAAUGGGGUGCCAGAGCCGUGUGCCAUCAGGCCGUGUUUCCCUCUGAGGACAGAGAGUCCGGGCUGAGGUGAGAUGGGCACGAGAGCCGGGAUGAGCAAUCCAGGGAUUCCAGGGAGCUCGGAAUCGCAGCUGCUGCCGGAACCGCGGCCUUAGCCCUCCAGCAGUAUUCCAGGACUCUGAUGAAACCUUCACCUUCUGCAAUUUGAAAAUGCCAGCUGGGCAGCCUUUGGAAAGAGCCAAGCAGUUGGGGUCUAUUUUGUGAUGAUGGCAUCAGACUGUGUGCAGCUGAAAUGUGUGACCUGAGCCCCUGGGCAUUCCUGGGAGAUGCUGACUGAGAGACAACAGCCCAGCGAUGGCAGGAAUUUCCCACAUGGUGAAGCUUUUUUACUGCACACCUGGCAUGGUUUCUCAUACCCGGAUCUCUGACAGAUAAGUGCAGGGCUCCAACCCACAGAGGGGAUGGGAGCGGGAUGCUGGGUCUGGAAUUGUCAGGAGGGAUUUUUGAGGCAACUUUGGAACUGGGGAUGUCCAAGAAGCAGCCCGUCAAGCCCCAUAAGGGGAAGACUCUCAAUUUGAUUUCAGCAUGAACAGCGCAGGCCCUAAGCGACGCCAGCGCACAGGGAUCCCCACAGGCCCAACGUCAGCCCUUGCAGCA